UGGGGAAUAUUGGACAAUGGGCGCAAGCCUGAUCCAGCAAUGCCGCGUGUGUGAAGAAGGCCUGCGGGUUGUAAAGCACUUUCAGUGGGGAGGAAGGCCUUACUGUGAAUAUCAGUAAGGAUUGACGUUACCUACAGAAGAAGCACCGGCUAACUCUGUGCCAGCAGCCGCGGUAAUACAGAGGGUGCGAGCGUUAAUCGGAAUCAUUGGGCGUAAAGGGUGCGUAGGUGGUUAAUUAAGUCAGAUGUGAAAUCCCUAGGCUCAACCUAGGAAUUGCGUUUGAAACUGAUUGGCUAGAGUAUAGUAGAGGGAAGUGGAAUUUCCGGUGUAGCGGUGAAAUGCGUAGAUAUCGGAAGGAACACCAGUGGCGAAGGCGACUUCCUGGACUGUUACUGACACUGAGGCACGAAAGCGUGGGGAGCGAACAGGAUUAGAUACCCCCGUAGUCC
rnacentral:rRNA from 1 species